AGAGUUUGAUCCUGGCUCAGGACGAACGCUGGCGGCGUGCCUAAUACAUGCAAGUAGAACGCUGAAGAGAGGAGCUUGCUCUUCUUGGAUGAGUUGCGAACGGGUGAGUAACGCGUAGGUAACCUGCCUGGUAGCGGGGGAUAACUAUUGGAAACGAUAGCUAAUACCGCAUAACAACAGUUGUUGCAUGACAGCUGUUUAAAAGAUGCAAUUGCAUCACUACCAGAUGGACCUGCGUUGUAUUAGCUAGUUGGUGAGGUAACGGCUCACCAAGGCGACGAUACAUAGCCGACCUGAGAGGGUGAUCGGCCACACUGGGACUGAGACACGGCCCAGACUCCUACGGGAGGCAGCAGUAGGGAAUCUUCGGCAAUGGACGGAAGUCUGACCGAGCAACGCCGCGUGAGUGAAGAAGGUUUUCGGAUCGUAAAGCUCUGUUGUAAGAGAAGAACGAGUGUGAGAGUGGAAAGUUCACACUGUGACGGUAUCUUACCAGAAAGGGACGGCUAACUACGUGCCAGCAGCCGCGGUAAUACGUAGGUCCCGAGCGUUGUCCGGAUUUAUUGGGCGUAAAGCGAGCGCAGGCGGUUAGAUAAGUCUGAAGUUAAAGGCUGUGGCUUAACCAUAGUAUGCUUUGGAAACUGUUUAACUUGAGUGCAGAAGGGGAGAGUGGAAUUCCAUGUGUAGCGGUGAAAUGCGUAGAUAUAUGGAGGAACACCGGUGGCGAAAGCGGCUCUCUGGUCUGUAACUGACGCUGAGGCUCGAAAGCGUGGGGAGCAAACAGGAUUAGAUACCCUGGUAGUCCACGCCGUAAACGAUGAGUGCUAAGUGUUGGUCUCAUAAGAGAUCAGUGCUGCAGCUAACGCAUUAAGCACUCCGCCUGGGGAGUACGACCGCAAGGUUGAAACUCAAAGGAAUUGACG
rnacentral:rRNA from 1 species